GGGUCAGUGGGUUGGUCGUGCCACCGGUACGUACUGGUCUCACUGAUUCCUCCUUCCUGAAGAACCGUAAUGCCAUUAAUUUGGUGUUGCGGGGAAACAGGACUGUUACUUUGAAAGAAUUAGAGUGUUUAAAGCAAGCUAACGCUUGAAUACAUUAGCAUGGAAUAAUGAAAUAGGACGAUCGAUCCUAUUUUGUUGGCUUCUAGGAUUGACGUA
rnacentral:rRNA from 1 species